GCACAGCAUAAAUAGCUUACCAAGACAUGUAAAACACCAUGAGAUGGCAGGUAUUAAAACUAGGAACAAAUAAAUACAAAGAAAAAAGAGACUUUAAAAAAGAAAGAUGGAAAUAGGGAUCUAAAAUCGCACCAGGAAUGAACCUUAAAAAUGUGAAAUACAAGACCUGUACCCUUCCUAAGGGUGAGCCACAAGUCUGACUCAAAACUGUUCAGCAGCCAACCCAAAAAGGAAAGUCUGGUCCGUUCUGAAGUUCACGGUGUCCAUGAGAUAAAACAGACAGAUGACGCAGGGAAGCACAACUAUUCUUGGAACUGAGACCAGACAAAAGUUACUCCCAAGGACACUCCUAGAGAGAUGACGGUGGUUCACAGCCUUACCGUUGCCCUGACGGCUCACCCUUGAAUGUUUUCCUGGGAGAAGCAAAGAAUCCUCCCAUGCUAAAUCCCAAUCUGGGGCUCGCCUGCCAUGUAUCAAGAGGACUAGACUUCUAGUUUUCAGCCUCUGGG
rnacentral:lncRNA from 1 species